UACGUAGGGGGCAAGCGUUGUCCGGAAUCAUUGGGCGUAAAGAGCUCGUAGGUGGUUCGGUAAGUCGGGUGUUAAACCCCCAGGCUCAACCUGGGGACGCCACUCGAUACUGCUGUGACUAGAGUCCGGUAGGGGAGCGUGGAAUUCCUGGUGUAGCGGUGAAAUGCGCAGAUAUCAGGAGGAACACCAGCGGCGAAGGCGGCGCUCUGGGCCGGUACUGACACUGAGAGACGAAAGCUAGGGGAGCGAAUGGG
rnacentral:rRNA from 1 species